rnacentral:rRNA from 1 species
CACCUCUAGCAUUACAAGUAUUAGAGGCAUUGCCUGCCCAGUGACUAUAGUUAAACGGCCGCGGUAUCCUGACCGUGCAAAGGUAGCAUAAUCAUUUGUUCCUUAAUUAGGGACUAGUAUGAAUGGCUAGACGAGGGAUCAACUGUCUCUUAUUUUUAAUCAGUGAAAUUGACCUUUCAGUGAAGAGGCUGGAAUACAAUAAUAAGACGAGAAGACCCUAUGGAGCUUAAAUUAACAAGCUUAAUUAUUACUUAAAUACCCUAAUGGAACAAAACAAAAAACAUAAGCUUAAAAUUUUGGUUGGGGUGACCUCGGAGAACAAAAAAUCCUCCGAAAGAUAUAUAACAUAGACCUACAAGUCAAAGUAACUCAAUUAUCUUAUUGACCCAAAAAUUGAUCAACGGACCAAGUUACCCUAGGGAUAACAGCGCAAUCCUAUUUAAGAGUCCAUAUCGACAAUAGGGUUUACGACCUCGAUGUUGGAUCAGGACAUCCCAAUGGUGCAGAAGCUAUUAAUGGUUCGUUUGUUCAACG